UACGUAGGGGGCUAGCGUUGUCCGGAAUCAUUGGGCGUAAAGCGCGUGUAGGCGGUCCGGUAAGUCCGCUGUGAAAGUCGGGGGCUCAACCCUCGAAUGCCGGUGGAUACUGUCGGGCUAGAGUUCGGUAGGGGAGACUGGAAUUCCUGGUGUAGCGGUGAAAUGCGCAGAUAUCAGGAGGAACACCGGUGGCGAAGGCGGGUCUCUGGGCCGAUACUGACGCUGAGAGCGAAAGCGUGGGGAGCGAACAGG
rnacentral:rRNA from 1 species